UACGUAGGAGACGAGCGUUGUCCGGAGUUACUGGGCGUAAAGGGUGCGCAGGUGGCGGCGCGCGUGGGGGGUGAAAUCGCCCGGCUUAACUGGGAGGGUGCGCCGGAAACUGGAGUGCUUGAGCGCGGGAGAGGAAAGCGGAAUUCCUGGUGUAGCGGUGAAAUGCGUAGAUAUCGGGAGGAACACCUGUGGCGAAAGCGGCGCACUGGACCACAACUGACGCUGAGGCGCGAAAGCUAGGGGAGCGAACAGG
rnacentral:rRNA from 1 species